GGUGGCAAGCGUUGUCCGGAUUUACUGGGCGUAAAGGGCGUGCAGGCGGUUUGUUAAGUUCAGGGUGAAAGCUCCCGGCUCAACUGGGAGAGGUCCUUGGAUACUGGCAGACUUGAGGAGGGUAGAGGAGAGUGGAAUUCCCGGUGUAGUGGUGAUAUGCGUAGAUAUCGGGAGGAACACCAGUGGCGAAGGCGGCUCUCUGGGCCCUACCUGACGCUGAGACGCGAAAGCGUGGGGAGCGAACAGG
rnacentral:rRNA from 1 species